rnacentral:sRNA from 1 species
AGGAUUGUGUGGCUGACAUGGUGACGGCAGAUGACUCAGGCUUGCUGUGUAUCUGGCGGUCAGGGCCAGAAUUCACAUUAUUGACCCGCAUUCCAGGAUUUGGGUAGGUGAGGCAGAAAGGGUAGAGGGCUUCCUGAGAUAGCUUCAGGCUGGGGAGUAGGAUUUGAUUUGGGCAAAACAUAGUUGGGUGUCACCCUUGCAGAGUUCCGUGCCCCUCUGUGCAGCUGUGGCAGGGGAUCAUAGCAGCAGGCUAUGGGAACGGACAAGUGCAUCUGUAUGAGGCCACUACAGGAAAUCUACAUGUCCAGAUCAAUGCCCAUGCCCGGGCCAUCUGCGCCCUGGACCUGGCUUCUGAGGUGGGCAAGCUACUCUCUGCAGGUGAGGACACCUUUGUGCAUAUCUGGAAGCUGAGCAGAAACCCAGAGAGUGGCUACAUUGAGGUAUGUGUCAUGGGGUGGGUGGAAUGGGGGGGCCCAAGCAUGGGGCAGCAGGCCCUGACGAGCCCUCUGCUCCCCCAGGUGGAACACUGUCAUGGUGAGUGUGUCUCCGACACCCAGCUGUGUGGUGCUCGAUUUUGUGAUUCCUCAGGCAACUCCUUUGCUGUGACUGGCUAUGACCUUGCGGAGAUCCGGAGAUUCAGCAGUGUGUGAGAAGAGCAGCCUUCCUUUGUCCCUGUGGUAUUCAUAAAGUACCCGCUCCACCCA